CCAGUUACCAUCAUUCAGUUGGGGACUCUGGAGAGACUGCCGGUGACAAACCGGAGGAAAGGUGGGGAUGACGUCAAAUCAUCAUGCCCCUUACAUCCCGGGCUACACACGUGCUACAAUGGCAGGUACAGAGGGCUGCGAAGCCGCGAGGUGGAGCGAAUCCCAGAAAACCUGUCUCAGUCCGGAUUGAAGUCUGCAACUCGACUUCAUGAAGGCGGAAUCGCUAGUAACCGCGAAUCAGCAGGUCGCGGUGAAUACGUUCCCGGGCCUU
rnacentral:rRNA from 1 species